AGACGUCUACAUUAGAUACCCCGGUAGUCCCAGCCGUAAACUAUGCUCGCUAGGUGUCAGGCAUGGCGCGACCGUGUCUGGUGCCGGAGAGAAGUUGUUAAGUCUGCUACUUGGGAGUACGUCCGCAAGGAUGAAACUUAAAGGAAUUUGGCGGGGGAGCACCGCAACGGGAGGAGCGUGCGGUUUAAUUGGAUUCAACGCCGAAAAACUCACCAGCAGCGACUGUUACAUGAAAGUCAGGUUGAUGACCUUACUAGAUUUUCAG
rnacentral:rRNA from 1 species